AUUUAUUGUACGUUACCUACAGAAGAAGCACCGGCUAACUCCGUGCCAGCAGCCGCGGUAAUACGGAGGGUGCGAGCGUUAAUCGGAAUUACUGGGCGUAAAGCGCAUGCAGGCGGCCUGUUAAGUCAGAUGUGAAAGCCCGGGGCUUAACCUCGGAAUUGCAUUUGAAACUGGCAGGCUAGAGUCUUGUAGAGGGGGUAGAAUUUCAGGUGUAGCGGUGAAAAUGCGUAGAGAUCUGAAGGAAUACCAGUGGCGAAGGCGGCCCCUGGACAAAGACUGACGCUCAGAUGCGAAAGCGUGGGGAGCAAACAGGAUUAGAUACCCUGGUAG
rnacentral:rRNA from 1 species